UACGUAGGGUGCGAGCGUUGUCCGGAAUUAUUGGGCGUAAAGGGCUCGUAGGCGGUUUGUCACGUCGGGAGUGAAAACUCAGGGCUUAACCCUGAGCCUGCUUCCGAUACGGGCAGACUAGAGGUAUGCAGGGGAGAAUGGAAUUCCUGGUGUAGCGGUGAAAUGCGCAGAUAUCAGGAGGAACACCGGUGGCGAAGGCGGCAUUCUGGACCAACACUGACGCUGAGGAGCGAAAGCCAGGGGAGCAAACGGG
rnacentral:rRNA from 1 species